GGGUGUUUGGCUGCUUUUCUGUUCUUUACAUGACUACCACUUUCUCACACUGUCACUGUCAAUACUGACAUCAUUACUCUAGUCCAAUCAUCUUCUCGCCUGCCUUCUUUGAGCCAAUUAGUCUUCUCAAGUUUUAAAUAUGAGCUCUUCAUCAUUCUCCCUUAAAAAGUGUCUUUCAUGCAACACACCUCCUCCUCAUCUCCACCACUUUUCAGCAGAUGCAUCAUUACACUGAAGACAGUUCAUUGCUAACAUGGAUGUGGCAGUUUUUUAUCUGUACCUGUCAUUUCUUAUUCACUCUGGUCUGACUGUUAUUGUUCUUCAGUCUAAAGAUCAAAUCUCUGACCCAGGGAGAACAGUGAUGCUGGAGUGCAAAAUGGGUCCAGGCUUCAGCAUGGGAAGCUACACCAUGUUCUGGUACAGACAGAACCACCAUGGAGCUCCAAUCGAGUUCCUUAUGAGGGAAUACGAGAAACCUGUGGGACGCUUAGAGUCAUUUAUCGAUACAUCCAAAAACAACUUCUCUCUACAAAUAACUGAGCUGCAUAUCAAUGACAGCAGCACCUACUACUGUGCUGCCAGUCACAGUGAUACACACAGACCAGACACUCAUACACAUAACCAGCGUGUUUGUCACAGAUGGCGUAAAGCAGGAAGGAGCUGUGGCUUGUUUGGUUGUGAAUGUCCUGGUGGAAAUAUAAGACAGAACAUCUUCAGAUCUGUGUAGAAUUAGGCAAACGUGCUGGCACAAUUACAUUAAUUUAUUUUUAAUAUCAGAAUAAAGUUAAUAACUAAUAUCAAAUUUAUCUUGCACAAAUAAUAAGCAUACAGAAGCAGAUUAAAGUCAUGUGCUUCUGGUGUACACCAGCAGAGAUUAAACCACGCAGUAUUUUUGGAGGUAAUAUAUUUGUUUAUAAAUCCAAAUUUUGCAUCACCAUCUGCCCUCACUCUGCACAAUUAAUUCAAUACGUGACAAAAACGGUGAGUUUGAAGCUUUUAGUGGGUAUAAAUUUAUGAAAAGACCACCCAAUAAACUGACUGAUCAUGAAUAAAAGUAUCAAAAAACAGGACUAAAAAAGGAAGGGUGGCUAGCAGAAAUCAACAUUAGUUCAUUUACCAGUAAAGUGAUAUAAACUGCCCCCUUGAGUCCUACAAGCAGCACUGUCACAGUACACUGGAGAGAGGAAAUUAAGCUACAGUUGGCUUGGUGGCCACUGGGAGAGUGUUGGUGUAAAAAAGGAAGC